CACAUGAAGAGACGAGAAGGAUGCACAUAAAGAAACGAGAAGGAUGCACAUGAAGAGACGAGGAAUUUAAAUCAAUUACCUCAAUUAUAUAUUACAGAAUUGUAUAUUCUGUAAUAUAUAAUUGAGGUAAUUAAGUUAAUUCAUUUGAUAUUGCAACAUGCGGGCAGAGUGUUGCAAAAUCUUUUAUAAACCUUAGUGCCUUACCGAAAUAAUUAAACAACCUUUUGGAUGAAAUCGAAAAGAGUUGAGCAGAGAAUAUAUUGCAUGAGACAUUCGUUAAUUAUCUUGUUUUUAUCUAGGUAUUUUUGAAUUAUAUCGCAUGUAAUAAAUCGUUUGACAAUGUUACAGAACACUGCAUGUGUUAUAACAUUGAGGGGUGUUAUAACACAAUGCACGGUUCAAACGAUAAGCUUUCCGCGAGUCUUAUAAUCUUCAAAGAGUUGUUCACUUAACAUACAUGUUCAAUCAUGUACAGUCAUGGAUAUCAAUGUUUUAGCAUGAUAAAACUAUUACAAUGCGAAAGCACGAUCUCCAUAAUCACUUGCCAUGAUAUUGUUGUUGCAUUUUUAUAGACAUGUCGAGCGUACGGACAGUGAAAGAACGCGAACUCUGGCAGUGGUACAAGAGAUGAAGAUCAAGAAGAAGAUAGAGGAGUACGUUAUUAUUUUUCCUGUCCUAAUCUUAACUUGUUUUAGAUUUUCGUUUAGAUGAGGAGGAGGCUGA